rnacentral:rRNA from 1 species
UACGGGGGGAGCAAGCGUUGUUCGGAUUCACUGGGUUUAAAGGGAGCGCAGGCGGACUGGUAAGUCAGUGGUGAAAGCCCUGGGCUCAACCCGGGAACUGCCAUUGAUACUAUCAGUCUUGAAUAUCGUUGAGGUUUGCGGAAUGGGUCAUGUAGCGGUGAAAUGCAUAGAUAUGACCCGGAACACCUAUUGCGAAGGCAGCAGGCUAAGCGAAGAUUGACGCUGAGGCUCGAAAGCGUGGGGAUCAAACAGG